AUGGCAGCUCCAUGUCCUUCUACGUGCGUCCCAGCCCGGCAAAGCGCCGGCUCUCGACGCUCAUCCUGCAGGGCGGCGGCACUCGGUGUCGCGUUCAGGAGCCCGGGGCCGUGCUGUUGGCCCAGCCCGGGGAGGCGGCGGCCGAGGCCUCGGGCGACUUCAUCUCCACGCAGUACAUUCUGGACUGCGUGGAGCGCAACGAGAAGCUCGAGCUGGAGGCCUACCGUCUGGGCCCGGCUCCGGUGGCCGACCAGGCCCCAGAGACGAAGCCCGCGGUCCAGGCCCGGGGCGCCGCCGCCGCCCGCGGUGGCGGAGCCUGAGCCGCAGUCGCCGGCGGGGCGGAUGGUCUUCACGGACGCGGACGACGUGGCCAUCUUAACCUACGUGAAGGAACAUGCCCGCUCGGCCAGCUCUGUCACCGGUAACGCCUUGUGGAAAGCGAUGGAGAAGAGCUCGCUCACCCAGCACUCCUGGCAGUCCAUGAAGGACCGCUACCUGAAGCGCCUGCGGGCCAGGAGCACAAGUACCUGCGGGGGAGGCCCCGUGAGCCCCUCCUCGCAGAAACUCAAGAGGAAGGCUGAGCAAGACCCGGAGGCUGCUGAUAGUGGGGAACCACAGAAUAAGAGAACUCCAGACUUGCCUGAAGAAGAAUUUGAAAAAGAAGAGAUGCUUGUAGAAGCUUCCCGAGAGUUUGAGGAGCUUGUGGUGGACGAGAGUCCUGAUUUUGAAAUACACAUAACAAUGUGUGAUGAUGAUCCACCCAAGCCUGAGGAAGACUCAGAAACACAGCCUGAUGAGGAAGAAGAAGAAGAAGAAGAAAAAGUCUCUGCACCAGAGGUGGGAGCUGCCAUUAAGAUCAUCUGGCAGUUGAUGGAAAAGUUUAACUUGGAUCUAUCAACAGUUACACAGGCCUUCCUAAAAAAUAGUGGUGAGCUGGAGGCUACUUCCUCCUUUUUAGAGUCUAGUCAGAGGGCUGAUGGGUAUCCCAUUUGGUCCCGACAGGAUGACUUAGAUUUGCAAAAAGAUGAUGAGGCUACUCGAGAUGCAUUGGUCAAAAAAUUUGGUGCUCAGAAUGUAGCUUGGAGGAUUGAAUUCUGA
rnacentral:lncRNA from 1 species